CCUACGGGUGGCAGCAGUGAGGAAUAUUGGUCAAUGGACGCAAGUCUGAACCAGCCAUGCCGCGUGCAGGAAGAAGGCACUAUGAGUUGUAAACUGCUUUUGUACGAGGGUAAACGCAGAUACGUGUAUCUGGCUGAAAGUAUCGUACGAAUAAGGAUCGGCUAACUCCGUGCCAGCAGCCGCGGUAAUACGGAGGAUUCGAGCGUUAUCCGGAUUUAUUGGGUUUAAAGGGUGCGUAGGCGGGCGGGUAAGUUAGAGGUGAAAGCUCGAGGCUCAAAUUCGGAAUUGCCUCUGUUACUGUUCGACUAGAGUGUAGUUGCGGUAGGCGGAAUGUAUGGUGUAGCGGUGAAAUGCUUAGAGAUCAUACAGAACACCGAUUGCGAAGGCAGCUUACCAAGCUACUUCUGACGUUGAGGCACGAAAGCGUGGGGAGCGAACAGGAUUAGAUACCCCUGUAGUC
rnacentral:rRNA from 1 species